rfam:Triticum aestivum genome assembly, contig: Triticum_aestivum_CS42_TGACv1_scaffold_374612_5AL
CAGAUACUCCCUCCGUCCAAAAAAACUUGUCCCAAGCUUAUAUCUCAAAUGGAUGUAUCUAGCACUAACUUGGUGCUAGAUACAUUCAUUUGAGGGACAAGCUUUUUCGGACGGAGGGAGUGUAUC